UAUCUAAUUUCUCAUAUAUAUAUAUAUAUAUAUAUUGGAAAAUUUUAAAGGGAAACAAUAAUAGGAGCCAGAUACUCGGCCUGAAGUCUAACUCACUGUAUGCUUGCCUAAAAAUAUUAUAUAUGUAUAUAUUACAAAGUUUAAGAUACUCUACUUUUGCUGAAACUACAAGUAGUUUUGGGGGGAAGAUGAGACUACAAGUUAUCAUCACUAUCUGACAUCUGUCCUUGCUUUGAAUAAAAUAAGGGAGCGUCAUCAUUCUC
rnacentral:lncRNA from 1 species